AACGAACGCUGGCGGCAUGCCUAACACAUGCCAGUCGAACGAGACCUUCGGGUCUAGUGGCGCACGUGUGCGUAACGCGUGGGAACCUGCCCUUAGGUUCGGAAUAACUCCCUGAAAGGGGUGCUAAUACCGGAUAAUGUCUUCGGACCAAAGAUUUAUCGCCUUUGGAUGGGCCCGCGUUGGAUUAGCUAGUUGGUAGGGUAAAAGCCUACCAAGGCGACGAUCCAUAGCUGGUGUGAGAGGAUGAUCAGCCACACUGGGACUGAGACACGGCCCAGACUCCUACGGGAGGCAGCAGUGGGGAAUAGUGGACAAUGGGCGAAAGCCUGAUCCAGCAAUGCCGCGUGAGUGAUGAAGGCCUUAGGGUUGUAAAGCUCUUUUACCCGGGAGGAUAAUGACAGUACCGGGAGAAUAAGCUCCGGCUAACUCCGUG
rnacentral:rRNA from 1 species